rnacentral:rRNA from 1 species
UGCAAGUCGAGGGGCAGCAUGGUCUUAGCUUGCUAAGGCCGAUGGCGACCGGCGCACGGGUGAGUAACACGUAUCCAACCUGCCCUUUACUCGGGGAUAGCCUUUCGAAAGAAAGAUUAAUACCCGAUAGCAUAAUGAUUCCGCGUGGUGGAACUAUUAAAGAAUUUCGGUCAUCGAUGGGGAUGCGUUCCAUUAGUUUGUUGGCGGGGUAACGGCCCACCAAGACUACGAUGGAUAGGGGUUCUGAGAGGAAGGUCCCCACAUUGGAACUGAGACACGGUCCAAACUCC